rnacentral:lncRNA from 1 species
UUCCAUCCCUAGCCUGGGAACUUUGGCAUGCCAUAGGAGUGGCCAAAAAAAAAAAAAAAAAAAAAAAGUCUUGAUGAAAUAUUAGAAUAGGAUAAGUAAAUACAGAUAAAAUAAUAGAAUAGAACAAAUAAAUAGAAUAAAGUAAAUAGAAGUAACACAUUCCGGUAGGCUAUUUAAAAACAUUAGGAUGUUUAUGAUUUCCUGGAAACUGAAAAACUAGACAAUGUCCAGAUGAAGGGUGUAAAUUAGAAAGAAGAAGGGUUUAGAAACCACAUCAAUGUAGGAAAAAAAGGUACGUUAGUUGUCACUUUCUCUGUUGGACUUUCUCAUAUAUCUAAGUAGAACUAUUCCUCCUUAUAGAUGCAUCAUUCUUUGUCCAUUUUUAUCUCCUAUAACACUGUAGAAGAGUAGGUUGUAAAUACAUUUUUCCGUGAUAGACUGUGAUGCCCCUGAGGCCAGUGGCUAAGUUUCAUUCUUCUUCAUUUCCCAGCACCUCUCUAAUAGCAAAUAUUAUUAAAUCACUUUUUUGACAUCCUUUGCUAACUGGUUAUAUUUUCUUGAAAUUUUCCAAUUCAAAUUUGCCAAGAGAAAUAAAUUUCUUGGCAGAAGUUAGAUAACAUUUCAAGGAUGGGAAUUUCUGAUUUGGAUGGUAGAUUGGAUUAGACUGUCUUGUUUCAACCAAAGGUUCCAUGAUUCACUGAUUCCUAUAAGGCAUGAUUGGUUUCACAGUUAGUAGGCAAAGAGUACAAUCUUAAGGCAUUGGGACCAAAAGAGGUCAAAGAUGUGGCUCUUAACUCAAAUUGCUUGUGGCUGUGGUGUAGGGCCAGCCCCUGUAGCUCCAAUUUGACCCCUGGGAACUUCCAUAUGCUGCAGGUACGGUCCUGAAAAACAAACAUACAGACAAACAGUUGAACUUGGAUUGUGUUGACUAGUUUCCUCUGGGUUAACAUGGUAUAAUUAUAGACAUUGGGAUGGUUGCUCCUGGGAUGUGUCCACAGGUUGAGAGAGGGAAUUUCCCAUCUCAGUUGUUGAAAUAGCCCAUUCAUUCUUUCAAUUAGCCUGGCAGCAGUAGGGUUGUAAGGCAGAUGGAAAAGCCAAUGUAUGUCAUUUUUAUCAACUGAUUCCUGGAAUUCAUGACCAAUUAAGUGGAUUCCUUGGUCAAUAUCAACAUCUAUGGGAGCCCUAUAGUCGCAAGGCUCUUCUAGACCCCAAAUAGUGGUUUUCUGAGUUGCUUGAUAACUUGGAUAGGCCUUUUAUAAUGUCUUCUACCUAUUGUAAUGUAUUGUAGACUGCAUAUAGCUGUUGUUCUAUCACAUUAGUAAAAGUUCUGAGGAUGACACACUAGAAGCAUGGAGAAAUUAGAGGUACACAGAAGUGUGGAAAACUAUAGUCCAGCCUUAAGCUAGUUCAGUGCCUGUUUGGAUUAAAGUUAUUGGUUACUCUUCAAUCUGCUUACCAGAGGAUAAGAUAAACUCUUUGUGGAAGGAUAUAGCAUCAAGAGCCUCUAAUACUUAUCAUAAACAAUGUCUGUCCCUUGGUAAAAUCUUACCAGUUACUCGAAAAGAACCAAGAGAAAAACUGACAAUAGAAACAGACCUGCAGAUGACUCAUUUUUUAGUACUAUUAGAAAUGAACUUUAACAUAUUAAUAAUAGUAUAAUUAAUAUAUUCAAGAUAAUAGGUGUCAAGAUGGAGAAUUUCACUAGAUACCUUCCAUUUAUUUUUAAAAUGAAAUAUAAGUUAAAGAAUGAAAAUGUAGUAGCAGAAAUUAAGAUCUUAAUAGAUGGGUUACUAUCAGAUCAGACAUAGAAGAAAAGUUGAUUAAUAAAUUGGAAGACCAAUUGCUAGAAAAAUCCAGGCUGAGGCCCAGAGAGCUAAAAGUAUAGAAAAUAGUUAAGAGCAUAAAGAUACAUGGGACAUGGUGAAAAGAAAUGAGAAAGAGAAAAUAAAAGAAAAAAUAUUUGAAGGGUUAAGAAUAAACAUUUUCCAAGACCGAUAAAAGAUGUUGGCCUCAAGAAGUCUCAUGAAACCCAAAGGGCACAUAUAGACAAACAAACAGAAAACCUCUCACCCAAGCUCAGAAUAUACAGUUUCUUAAAAAAUAAAAAGGAAAUCUAAAAAAACAGUCAGAGAUUUUAUAUGUAUAUAUGUAUGUGUAUAUAUUUAUAUUUAUUCUUAAAGUUUGUAUAUGGACAGUAAUAUAUAUUCAUAUUAAUUAUAUAUUAUCAUAUAAUACAUUUUAAUAACAUAAUUUAUAGUAGCAUAAAAUAGUUAUGUUAAAACUGAUAGGUUACUCCUUAACAAACAUGAUGAAAGUCAGAAGGCAUUGGGAAAACAUCUUUAAACUACUGAAAGAAAAAUGUCAACAUAUUUUAUGUUCAUUAAAAAUAUUCUUCAAAACUGAAGGUCAAAUAAAGAUGUCUCUGAACAAACAAAAAUUGAGGAAAUUCAUCACGAAGAAAACUACACUAUAAGAAAUGCCAAAGUGCAGAUGGAAAAUGAUCCCAGAAGGAAACAGAAAUACUGGAAGGAAUGAGGAGCAAAGUAAAGAUUAAAUAGGUGAGUAAAUAUAAGUGGAUAUUGAACAUACAAAACAAUAUAUAGAGUUAAAAAAUAUAUACAUGGAAUGAAAAUGCAUAAUAACAAUAGCAGAAAAGUCAGAAGGAGCAGGUGGAGUUAAAGUAUUCUAAAGUCCCUGUGCUGUCUGUGGAAGGCUGAACAUACCUACAUUAAGCUGUAUAAAUCAAGGCUAUAUGUUAGUAAAGAAUAUAUAACUAACCAGCUUAUAGUAGGAGAGGCAUAGACCACAAAGAUUGGAUUUAUCUAAAAUAACUCAAGAGAGAGUUUCUGUUGUGGCUCAGCAUGUUAAGGACCAGACAUUGUCUCUGCGAGGAUGUGGGUUUGAUCCCUGACCUCACUCAGUGGGUUAAGGAUUCAGAGUUGCUGUAGGUCACAGUUGUGCCUCAGAUCCAGUAUUGCCUUGGCUGUGGAGUAGAUCUCAACUACGGCUCUGAUUUGAACCCUAGCCUAGAGAACUUCCAUAUGCUGCAGCUGCAGCUGUAAAAAGAAAAAAAA